UUUAAAGAUUUAAAAAAUUUUUUCUUUUAAAGAUUAACUACUGUUUUAAUUUAUUAUCUUGAUAUUUCACUGCUUUUGAAGGUUUCUUGAGCAUAGAUCAUCUUUAUUCAGAUGGUGAUUUUUAAAAGACACAAGCAAAAUGCAAUGAGAAUUAGAAAAAAGUAUUAUUUCUAGUGGGGGAUUCAAGAAGUUUUCGUGUAAGUGCGGUGGUAUUGUAAACUAGACACUGGACUGGAUCACAGCCUGGGUUGUAAGCAUAGGCCUGCUAUUCCAGUAUGCAUGACUUUAUGCAUAUUUCCAGUGCUUUAAAACCUCAACUUCACCAGUUUUCAAGACCUUUUUAAACAAUGGAACCCUUUUUCACAAGUGGUAUUCUGUGGAACGCUUGUAUAAAAAACAGGUAAAGUUGUUUUAUUUCUGUGCAUUUUCUGUUAGUUACCAUAAUAUUUACUGGGUAAAAACAAGAGCAGUUUAAUUAAAAUUAAGUUUAAUUAAAACUUUACAUUUAUUUUUAAAUUUAUUAAUGUUUCACAGUCAAUCUUUGGAAGUCAGAAAAUAAUUGACCAAAAAUGGAAAGGAUUGAUUUACUAAAGAUAGAAAUGAUAAGAUUGGAGUUAAUGGUCAUACUGUACAUAUAAAUGAUGCUAACAUUUUAGCUUUAUGUUAAUUAAACUUAAAUGAUGUUUUUUAGGGAGAGCAAUAAUUAUUUUAAGAAAAUGUAAAAUCUUUUUUGGAUUAUAAAGUCACUUGCUUAUUUUUGUAUUUAAAAUUAUAGUUUAAUGGACUGCUUUUACUAAUAUUUGUCAGAUAAGAACUUUUAAUAAAAGAUGGGACUUAAAUUUAUACAACAUUUUAUCAUGGUGAAUAUGGAUUUCAAAUAUUUUGUUUUUUCUGUUAUUAUUUGAUUGAAUAAACUAAGUUAUUUGAUUCAGAGAAAAUAAUUUGCUACCCCUUAAAAUGAAUAUAAGAACCCUUCUAUGAAAAAGCAAAAUUGAUAUAUGAAUGAAGGUCGGAAGGGAAUGACCCCAAAUGGUUAACAGUAGCUUUCUCUAAGGAAUGGGAUUGUGGGAACAAGUCUAAGUUUUAUAUCAGGUCUAAAAAUGACUUAGUUAUAACUAUUAAAUUAUUUUUUAAUUUAAUAAUUAUUAGGUUGAAUUGUUAAUUAGUAUCAAAUAUUUAACAGUGUGUUAAUUAUUGAUAAGUUGGAAAACAGAAGUAUAAGAAAUAUAAAUAUAUUCAAUAAAUAAUGAAUAUAAGCAAACAAUAUAUUAUUUCUUAAAACUUUCUACUCUUAGUAUCAAAAUUAAUUGUAAUACACUGAAAAUUAGAAAACGAGAACGCUUUAAACAGUAAUUGUUUCAAAUGUAUUAAAUGUAUUAUAAUUAAAACUACUUUGACUUUAGAAGGGAAUUCAGGUAAUUCAUGCUAAACUUUCUUUUGAUUUUAAGCUGCCAACUGAUAGAGUGCAGAAAUGAUAACUUUCUGAAUACUGUUGCUAUAAACAAACAUCUCUUCGGUUCCUGCUAUGUGAAAAGGAGCCAAAUGUAAUGAUUGUGGUCUUAUUCAAGGACAGAGUGCUGAUGAUAUCAUUUCCAUAGACAGCACAAUGCUGCAGCUGGCUCUGUCAGUCUAGGAAGAGAGCUCACUUAAAAAAAGACCAUGAAGUAAUUUGCAAUUCAGGGGCAAUAUUUUAAGGGAAGUGAACUCGAAGUCUACUCAUUAAAAUCAAAGAAAACCUUGUGCUUUUUUUUUUUUUUUUUUUUUUUAAUAUUUUUGUCUCUUCAAAGUGUAACCAUACCAACUUGCAUAGCCUACAUUAGGAAUUCAGGAAAAGGGGACAGUGUUAAGAAUUUUGCUUGUUGGAAAAGUUCUUUAGAGUAAGACCUUGGAGGGAAAAAUUAUAUAGGUGUCUGGAAUUUAAACCUACAUUGCUAAUUUCAUGUCAGACAUUUAAGAAAUGUGUUUCAGAGGUAUUUAUUAGUUGUCUGUUCCCUCACAGUGUCAGGCUGACCAGCAUACAAGUGCAUGAGUCCCAGUGGCAUGAAAGCAGUCAGAAUUCCCACCUUCCUUGGCUCAAAGGAAACAAAUGAAGGCAGGUGUUCCAGUUUGAAGGCCAGGUCCUUCCAUCUUGCGACCCCACCAUCCAGAGGGACUUGCUGUCAUCUGCAUCAAGCCUGAAGGUGAACAGAGAAUGUGGAGGAGAAAAUGAAGACCCCACACCCCAAGUUUCAAAGAAUAUCUGCCAAUAGUAUUUUGCUGGGAAUCCUGGGAAUCCAUGACUUACAAAAGGUAUAGUACUUUUGGCGAGAGAUUUCCAAGACAGGGGCAAGAAAGGUAAGGGGUUCCCAGGAUGAUUUCCCCAGCACUCAGAAUGCUGCCAACUUGAUAAAAUAUCAGCUGCUAUUUGACAACAAACGGAAACACACCAUGAAAGCACAACUGUUCUUUUCAGACUGUAUUAAUAGAAAAAUCUGGUAAACAAGAAAGAUUAGUACAAGAAUGUUCUAUCAAGUAGAUCCAGUUUCUCUAGGGAAAUGUUAAUCCCUAUUCACUACAGGCUUUCACAUUAAAAUGAGUCAUUAUUGUAUCACUGAUUAAGAUUUUAUAAAGGUUAACAGGUGUAGAGUUAAAUGAGUUUUUUUAAAUUAUUUUUCCCCUUCAAAUAUUUGUAAGGACAUUACAGAUAAUAUUCUUAAUGAAAUAAAGCAUUAAAAUACAUUUAAAGAUUCUUAGGGCCGCCUCACCAAUUUCAUUCCUCUUUUUUUGGUAAACUUAAACUAUACUGUUAUGUCUCAUUCCUUGCAUGUUUUCUACUUGCUAUAUAUGUAUGUAUCUAUAGAUGAAAUACAGUGUUGCUUUUGCAUAUUUUUAAUCUUAAAUAAAUGGUAACUACUGCUACUA